rnacentral:rRNA from 1 species
GAUGAACGCUAGCGACAGGCUUAACACAUGCAAGUCGAGGGGCAGCAUAAAAGCAGCAAUACUUUGGUGGCGACCGGCGCACGGGUGAGUAACGCGUAUGCAACCUACCUAUCAGAGGGGAAUAACCCGGCGAAAGUCGGACUAAUACCGCAUAAAACAGGGGCACCGCAAGGUGAUAUUUGUUAAGGAAAUUCGCUGAUAGAUGGGCAUGCGUUCCAUUAGGUAGUUGGUGAGGUAACGGCUCACCAAGCCGACGAUGGAUAGGGGAACUGAGAGGUUGGUCCCCCACACUGGUACUGAGACACGGACCAGACUCCUACGGGAGGCAGCAGUGAGGAAUAUUGGUCAAUGGGCGAGAGCCUGAACCAGCCAAGUCGCGUGAAGGAAGAAGGAUCUAUGGUUCGUAAACUUCUUUUGCAGGGGAAUAAAGUGCAGGACGUGUCCUGUUUUGUAUGUACCCUGAGAAUAAGGAUCGGCUAACUCCGUGCCAGCCGCCGCAGUAA